rnacentral:rRNA from 1 species
GAUAAUGGCUCAGGAUGAACGCUAGCGACAGGCCUAACACAUGCAAGUCGAGGGGCGUCAGGUAUCAGCUUGCUGAUACGCUGGCGACCGGCGCACGGGUGAGUAACGCGUAUGCAAUCUGCCUGUAACAGGGGGAUAACCCGGAGAAAUCCGGCCUAAUACCCCAUAAGGAUGUCUGUCCGCAUGGGCGGUCAUCUAAAGGUUUUCCGGUUACAGAUGGGCAUGCGUUCCAUUAG